rnacentral:rRNA from 1 species
UACGAGGGGGGCUAGCGUUGCUCGGAAUUACUGGGCGUAAAGGGCGCGUAGGCGGGUCGUUUAGUUAGAGGUGAAAGCCCAGGGCUCAACCCUGGAAUUGCCUUUAAUACUUGCGGCCUUGAGUAUGAGAGAGGUGUGUGGAACUCCGAGUGUAGAGGUGAAAUUCGUAGAUAUUGGGAAGAACACCGGUGGCGAAGGCGGCUCACUGGACCGAUACUGACGCUGAGGCGCGAAAGCGUGGGGAGCAAACAGG